UCUGGUGAUGAUGGCGAAGAGGUCACACCCGUUCCCAUGCCGAACACGGAAGUUAAGCUCUUCAGCGCCGAUGGUAGUUGGGGGAUUCCCCCUGCGAGAGUAGGACGUCGCCAGGC
rnacentral:rRNA from 1 species